UGUUUAGUGUGAGUAUAUCUCAUGUAAUAUUUGGGAAAUACUUACACUAAAA
rnacentral:pre_miRNA from 1 species